rnacentral:tRNA from 1 species
GUACCUAUAGUAGUUUAAAGAAUGUGAUAUUGAAGAUAUCGAGGUGGUUGUCCCUUGGGUACU